rnacentral:rRNA from 1 species
UGGGGAAUUUUGGACAAUGGGGGAAACCCUGAUCCAGCCAUCCCGCGUGUGCGAUGAAGGCCUUCGGGUUGUAAAGCACUUUUGGCAGGAAAGAAACGUCGCGGGUUAAUACCCCGCGAAACUGACGGUACCUGCAGAAUAAGCACCGGCUAACUACGUGCCAGCAGCCGCGGUAAUACGUAAGGUGCAAGCGUUAAUCGGAAUUACUGGGCGUAAAGCGUGCGCAGGCGGUUCGGAAAGAAAGAUGUGAAAUCCCAGAGCUUAACUUUGGAACUGCAUUUUUAACUACCGGGCUAGAGUGUGUCAGAGGGAGGUGGAAUUCCGCGUGUAGCAGUGAAAUGCGUAGAUAUGCGGAGGAACACCGAUGGCGAAGGCAGCCUCCUGGGAUAACACUGACGCUCAUGCACGAAAGCGUGGGGAGCAAACAGGAUUAGAUACCCUGGUAGUCCACGCCCUAAACGAUGUCAACUAGCUGUUGGGGCCUUCGGGCCUUGGUAGCGCAGCUAACGCGUGAAGUUGACCGCCUGGGGAGUACGGUCGCAAGAUU